ACCGAUAUAGCUCAGUUAAGAAACAUUAAACUAUAGAUAGAAAAGUCCCUGGUUCGAUCCCGGGUUCCGGCA
rnacentral:tRNA from 1 species